CUCACUGAAUGGUUAAAGAGCCGCGGUAUUUUGACCGUGCAAAGGUAGCAUAAUCAUUUGUCUUUUAAUUGAAGAAUGGUAUGAAUGGUUAAACGAGAAGUAGACUGUUUCAUAAGAAAAAUUAGAAUUUAACUUUUAAGUGAAAAGGCUUAAAUAUUAAUUAGGGACGAGAAGACCCUAUAGAGUUUAAUUAAUAAUUAUACAAUAAGAUUUAGUCAAUAAUAUUUAUUGUAUAAUUAUUGGUUUAGUUGGGGCGACUAAAGGAAUAGAUAAACUCCUUUAUUUUAUUAUUCAUGAAUGAAUGAUAUUUGAUCCAAAAGUUUUGAUUAUAAGAUUAAGUUACCUUAGGGAUAACAGCGUAAUUACAUUUAAGAGUUCAUAUCGACAAUGUAGAUUGCGACCUCGAUGUUGGAUUAAGAUAAAUUAAUGGUGUAGAAG
rnacentral:rRNA from 1 species